ACAUACUUAGUAGAUUCAUAGUGUUGUUGUGAAUUUUUUGAUCAAAACACUUUGACUCAUAGUUUUUUGGUGAUUUUUCUGUCAAAAAAACUUAGAUUCAUACAAACCCAGAUACAUAGUUGUACAUAAGUGUACCAGUUGUACCUAAACACUUAGAUUCAUACAUAACAUUAGAAACCAAAACACAUCUGAACACACCAAGUCUUCUUCUGCUUCUUCUUCUGCUUCUUCUUCUCCUUAUCCUUCUCUUUCUCCUUCUCCUUCUCAGUCUCAGUCUCAGUCUCCUUUUCCUUUUCUUCCUCUCGUAAUAGAGAAACAAAUGUUAUAGGCUAAUAUAUACGUACAAAAAAUUUCAUCUAUGUCUGCAAUCCACUCCUUAUUAACUUACUUGAAACUAGAUUUCUUCCAAAAUUGACCAAGAGAAAUCAAUCAUCUUAAGAAGAGUUUACAAACAAAGUUACAACUUUCACUCAAUAUCUCCAAAUAAAAACAAGAAAAAGUAGCUACAUGUCGUCCGAAUUUCAAACCCGAAUUGUAAUUCAAAUCCUAUUAGUAAUCUUAAAAUCCGAACUGUAAUCAUAAAAAAUCCUAAUUGUAAUCGAAAUUCCAUUCAAAAUGCAUUUGUUUCAAACAAAAUCAAAGAGAAUUACAUAUCAAACCCUCACAGAGAAGAAUAAAUUGGAAGAAAUCAAAUCCUAAUUAAACCCAACACAAUAAAACAAAAUUAGGGAUCAAACAAAUGAAAUCUUACAAAGAGAAGACACGGCGGAGUUCUCACGGCAGAUUUCUCACGGCGGAUUUCUCGAUUUCACUGCGAAUUUCUCACGAAGAAGAAGAGAGAGGACGGAUCUUUGGAUCGAUAGAAACGAGUGAAGAGGGAAGAUGAAAAAGAUGAAUGAGUAUCGAUGGAAUCGAGAAAAGAGAGAAAAAAAAGAAGAAAGAAGAAGAAGAAAAGAGAUUGAAAGCUUUGUGUUUGUCGGAUUGUUGACUCGAGACAGAAAGAAACGAAGAAGAUGAAAAAGUCGUAGAGAGGAGAAAUAAAAAAAAAGUGAUUUGGAAAUUAGUGUUUGGAUUGACUUUGGGGAUAAAAGAUCUGAAAGUCA
rnacentral:lncRNA from 1 species